CAGUCGGACCGGACGGUCGCUCUCCGCAAGGGGAGAGGAAAGUCCGAACUCCACAGAGCAGUGUGCCGGAUAACGUCCGGGAGGCUGGGUUCAAGCCCAGUCGACGGAAAGUGCCACAGAAAACAUACCGCCUCGCCCGCAAGGACGCGGUAAGGGUGAAAAGGUGCGGUAAGAGCGCACCGCCGCGGCAGUAAUGCCGCGGGCAGGGCAAACCCCACACGGAGCAAGACCAAAUAGGGAGGGAAUUCCGGUUCGCCGGAAUGCGUGCCGGCUCGGCGCGUCCAACCUCCGGGUAGGUCGCUUGAGCCGGGCAGCAAUGCACGGCCCAGAGGAAUGAUCGUCCUGCCGGAUCUUUCCGGCAGACAGAAUUCGGCUUACAGGUCCGGCUGCCAC
rnacentral:RNase_P_RNA from 1 species